AGGAAUUGUUGUCCUGGUGUUGCUGGGGUGUUACGGUCCGAAGUGGAACGGUCCAUGAAUCCAGCAAUCAAGGUCGGGGCCAAGCCCGAGGCGUGUUGCAUGAGGAGGUUGGCGCCACGAACAGCGAAACCAUCC
rnacentral:lncRNA from 1 species